AGUGCUGAUACCACUUGUCAGAGAGAGAGAGAGAGAGAGAGAGAGAGAGAGAGAGAGAGAGAGUCAGUCGUAAUGGAGAGCGUGAGAGGAAGGUUGGUGGUGAUGGUUGGAAUCGGAUUGGUGGGAGGAAUUUUAGUUAUCCAAAUUCUCAAAGCAGAGGGAAUUUUGAGUCCCAAGAAGUCUUCCAUCUCCUCCUCCGUCUUGAAUAAUGUUGUAGAGAGAGGAGACACCAGCGCCCUUCUAGAUAACAAACAAAGGGAAUGGCCAGAAGGACUGAAGGAAGAAGUGAACGCAGCAGAGGAAAUGGGUGAGAAAGACGAUGACACCAACAUUAUCACCGGGAAAGAUACAAACACCUACCACAAGUUACUGCACAUCCUCAAGGGAAUAGCACCGCAGAAAACGGAGGCCGGCAAAGGGGAAACUGCUGCACACGAGAAAAGGGCUGCCAUCUUAACUGGAAGGGAUGUCACCAUGGUUGCCACAUCGCCAGUGAAAACCAAGAUGAGAGGAUGGGAUUUGCAAAUGCCUGUUGUAAUUGCAUUGGUGCUUCUCCUGGGGAUAAGCUUAAUAUCCCUGGUAAAUUUGUGCUGCUGUUGCUUCCAUCGCACGAAAGCUGAAGGGAAGGAGGUGAAGGAUGAAAAACCAGUUCUUCUUUUAUAAGUGUAUAGAAAAGUUUAUAUUAACCAGGAAUGUGAUUGAUUGGUUUGUCCAUUGAACUACAGGGUAGAGAGAGACAUCAUUUUUUGUAGUAAUAAUAAUAGUAAUAAUAAUUAUAAUAAUUAUAAUAACGUACAAUGUCGAUUUCUCAACACUUAAAAACUGUAGAAGAUAAUUAUAACAUACACUCGCAGGCUUAUUCUGCUGAUUGAAACCUAUUCACUGGGUCAUUCAGCACGUGCUGAGUGCCUGAUUUGGACCCCCACCCUCCACCCCUCCUGAUUUGAAAAAAAGAAAAGAAAAAAUAAAAUAAAAA